AUGAACGCUGGCGGCGUGCCUAAUACAUGCAAGUCGAGCGAACAGACGAGGAGCUUGCUCCUCUGACGUUAGCGGCGGACGGGUGAGUAACACGUGGAUAACCUACCUAUAAGACUGGGAUAACUUCGGGAAACCGGAGCUAAUACCGGAUAAUAUAUUGAACCGCAUGGUUCCAUAGUGAAAGACGGUUUUGCUGUCACUUAUAGAUGGAUCCGCGCCGCAUUAGCUAGUUGGUAAGGUAACGGCUUACCAAGGCAACGAUGCGUAGCCGACCUGAGAGGGUGAUCAGCCACACUGGAACUGAGACACGGUCCAGACUCCUACGGGAGGCAGCAGUAGGGAAUCUUCCGCAAUGGGCGAAAGCUUGACGGAGCAACGCCGCGUGAGUGAUGAAGGUCUUCGGAUCGUAAAACUCUGUUAUUAGGGAAGAACAAAUGUGUAAGUAACUAUGCACGUCUUGACGGUACCUAAUCAGAAAGCCACGGCUAACUACGUG
rnacentral:rRNA from 1 species